CCCCGCAGCUCCUCCCUCGCCCGGGCCCAACACGCCGCUCUAGUAACCGCCCUCGGCGCGGGCAGAAAGUCAUCAACCUUUUAUUCUUAUUAUUACUACUAAAAAUCUCUGCUGUCUUUUGCGAAUUGCCGUGAAUUUCCACUCGGCACACGCAGGUGCGUUCUGCGUUUCCUCAGUUGCUCCGCGCCUCCAAUCUGACACGGCCGAGGGCUUUGCGGGGCUCCUCCUGUAGAUACAAAGCGGGAAGCGCCGCGGCACAUCCGCACGGCUCCCUUUGCCAGCCGCAGAAACCUGACUUGCUCUGCUCCGCUCCCUGGGCUGCCGUGGGACGCCAGAACGGCGCUGCUGAUGGGGGAAGGCAGCUGCCCUCCUCCUUCCCGCCAGCAGUCGUCCCUCCACACCCGCAGGAGGACGGUUUCCCUCCAAGCAGCCUGCCGCACGCACUGGCCAUACCUGCACGUGGAAGGUCUGGGCGAUCUCUGCGUCCACAUCGUAAACAAUCCCAGGGGUGCUUCACCUUCGUCCUUAUCUGCUCCCUCAAAGACAAGAGAUGAUGGCGGUCACACUUAGGUAGGCCAUGCGAAAACUAACGUGCCGAGGCCGAGAGUGGGAGCCCCUCCACCCCCACAUCAGCUCUGGCAGAAUUGGAGCACAAAGGAGGGUGAGCCUGAGUCAGGGCACGUGGAGUAAUUGCUCCCAGCUGCUCGGCCAUGAAGAGCAGCAGAGGGGUCUUAUGGGGCUCUGUGGCAAAGCUUUUCCUCUCGGGCUUUCCUCCAGAAGAAGUAGUGGGCGGAGACUUACUGAGAUAGCAAACUCUUUGAGGACGCUGUUGACUUUCCCGGAGGGAGAAACUGCCUUGGAGAUGUGCCAGGCGGUGAAAGCUGUGGGCUGGAGAUGCUGAUUCUGAAGGUGCUUGUGCUGGAGCUUGAAUUUCAGCCUGCAGAUAGCUGGCUGUGGUGGCUGGUCUCUGACAGUGGAACCCAGGCAGCACCAACAACUGGCAUGCCAGGUAGGAUACCACUGCAUUUACAGUGCAAUCAAAUGAGAAUGUGACAGAGACUCUGGUUGAAGUUCUGCAUGAUUUUGAGGCAGCUAACGGUGAUGAGCUUAAUUUAAAAUGAGGGGAUAUUGCACUAGUAAUUCCUUCUGAGACCACAGCUGAUCAGGUAACAACAACAUGAUUAUUUAUUUCUUUUGCUAAUGUUUCCCUUUGUCUCAGUUUCCUUCUCACUCUUUAUAGUUACUUUGAAAUGUUGAUUCAAAAUGUCUUUGCUGUUAGAAAAGACCAACAUUCUUAUUUUUCCCUAUUACUUGGUUUGAUUUGUGACCAAGCAGCACAGUUAACUAAGCUAAAGUCCCAGGUAUGUACUGCCAACAGGAUCCAACUUCAGUCUGUUUUUCUAGGGCACUUUUAUGUUACUUUGUAGUGAAUUUUAUAUAGGCUUACAUAGACACAGGCUGAAUACAGAAGAUGGCUUACAAAUUGUGCAUCCUGCUAUCAUUUUGUUGUUACACUGGGUCAGAACUGAUUGUAUUUCCCCACAUGUUCAGAGUUUUACUUGGAGAUCUGGGGAAAUAUACAUUUGCCCAGAGAGAGCACUGAGACUGCACACAAACAGUUCUGUCCUGCAGCCAAAUGGCACAGAGGUGUUCCUACAUGUCCUGUGUGCCUCUUGGAACCUGAGCCUCACACAGCUGUGCUCUUGAGCUGCACCAGCAAUCACUUUGUCUUUGGUGCAAGAAUCCAACAGUUCAGUGUCAUUUAAGAUAUUUUAUUUUGUUUUAACAGCGUGUUUCAGGUUAAUUUUUAAACAAUUCCACGUUAUAUUGAUUUGCAAUCAAGUGAAUUAAUUUUUUACCUCUUCUUUUGCCUUUUAUAUGGAAUUAGUGAUGGUGUUACAAAACAAAAAAUGUCUAGGAAAUGCUUGAUAGGGAACUAGAGUUGUCCAAGAGAAAGAGAGCAAGGAAGGAAAAAGUGGUAUGGGAAGUGGCUAGGAGACAGAAGGGCAUGAAGAAUUAAGUCACUGAGUUUGCAUCUCAAAUGAUUUUCAAGUUUCACCUCAGGACACAAAAUCCUGAAUGAUGAGCAUUCAAGCCUGGGAAUUGUUACAGGAUGAAAAAAUGUAGCAAGAGCUCCAGGUUUACCCUUUGUCUGCACCUUCCAGACAGAGCAGGAAGGAAAACCUGAACCCGCACUGCAGCAGUCCAACUUCCUCCAAGCUCCUGGUGCCUGGAUGCCCUGACGCAGCACUGGGCAGGACCAAGGCCGGCACAGCACUCCUGCUCAUCUUCCAGCUCAUUGGACAGCUAUAAAUUCAACUUACAUGUUUCCACCCCCCCCCACCAAACCACUUGCAUUUUUUCCAACAGAACUAGGCUUUCACUUCUGACUGUUUUGCCAUUAAGGCGGGAAACCAACAGUGAGGUUUAUAAAAAUCUAAAGGU